UAGUCUCAGUUCGGAUUGGAGUCUGCAACUCGACUCCAUGAAGCUGGAUUCGCUAGUAAUCGCGCAUCAGCCAUGGCGCGGUGAAUACGUUCCCGGGCCUUGUACACACCGCCCGUCAAGCCAUGGGAGUCGGGAGUGCCUGAAGUUCGUGACCGUAUAGGAGCGACCUAGGGCAAGACUGAUGACUGGGGCUAAGUCGUAACAAGGUAGC
rnacentral:rRNA from 1 species